AAUAGGGGACGGACCGGGGAGGAGCUACAGAGAGCGGGAGACGAGAAGAAAUGGCGUCAAGAGUCAAGGAAGACAACAAAACUAUCUUCUAAACAACUCAACUGUAACCCGCCUUUAACCCACAGCCGUCGGAGUUGACUGGCAGCCCUCCAUGCUCGUGUUCCCGUGCAGAGGGAAGAACAGUUGGCGCCUCUCAAUAACUUAUAGCUCCAGUCAGGACGACGCAACAGUCUGCCGGAAUUUCAGGGGUACACAAAGAUUAGGACCUACAUCUCCCACGUUGUGGGGUCAUGGUCUUUUGUGGCACACCAGUGGGGCCUCGAUCAGCGAAAGAUCAGAGGCUACGGCCAGCUAGCUUCACCUGAAUGAACAGGGAGUUUUGGGAG